GCAGGGUGUGGUGGGGCAUGCCUGUAAUCCCAACAAUUUGGGAGGCUGAGGCAGAAGGAUUGCAAGUUCAAGACCAGCCUCAUCAAUUUAGCAAGGUCCUUAGCAACUUAGUGAGACCCUGUCUCAA
rnacentral:sRNA from 1 species